rnacentral:rRNA from 1 species
UACGUAGGGUGCAAGCGUUGUCCGGAAUUACUGGGCGUAAAGAGUUCGUAGGCGGUUUGUCGCGUCGUUUUGUGAAAACCAGCAGCUCAACUGCUGGCUUGCAGGCGAUACGGGCAGACUUAAGUACUGCAGGGGAGACUGGAAUUCCUGGUGUAGCGGUGAAAUGCGCAGAUAUCAGGAGGAACACCGGUGGCGAAGGCGGGUCUCUGGGCAGUAACUGACGCUGAGGAACGAAAGCGUGGGGGAGCGAACAGG